GCAAGCAAGUUCUUAAAGCCGUUUCUUACUCUAGAGGAGAUGCUCACAUGUUAGCAUCCACAUACUAUUUCAAUUCCAAGGCAUUUAAAGGAGGCAAGCAAGUUCUUAAAGCCAUUUCUGACUCUAGAGGAGAUUCUCGCACGUUAGCAGCCACAUACUCUUUCCAUUCCAAGGCAUUUAAAUGAGGAAAGCAAGUUCUUAAAGCUGUUUUUUUACUCUAGAGGAGGUGCUCAGCUGCUAGCAACCACACACUCAUCCAAGGUAUUUUAAAGAGGCUUCCCACUUCCAGGUAUGGAAGAGCAACGACCUCCUGGAAGAGGAGAGUACACUGGCAAAACAGAUUCCAACGAAGGCUUUCCUGUGAUGCACAGUCACUUCUGGUGUUUGACUGUGAAAAUCUGUCUUACCAGCAUGCAAAGAUAGAGAGCAUAGUCCAUUUUCAGGAGUUGGGUGUUCCCUGACUCCUGAUUGAAGAAAACGUUGAGAAGCAGAGGACAGCUGGAAGAAUACGGGGAAAUGUUGUGGCCAUUCCCAAAGACAGAUCUUGCAGGGGGAAAUGGACCUUGCAAAGGAUGGGGAUUGAAACAAAAGCUCCCUUCAUCAGGAGGCAAAGAAGCCCAUCUAGCUUUCAGUCCUCUUUUCCUGCUGUCCCGAGUGCCACUCCUCCCAUUUUGAAAAAGUGACUUAUGCUGGAAUAAUGGAUUGCUAUGUUGUCACGUGUCAUCAGCGGGACUUCAGCCUUCGUCUGUCUUCCUUCACCACCAUUGUGCAGCACUAGAAAAAGUGCAAUCACUACUCUUGGAUUCUGAAAUUAUUUGUUCAAUAAGAAAGACGUUGGCACAUUUGCGAGUACCCAUUAUAAUAUUUGAUACUGUUAUGCAUUUGUGGAGAGCGUGGCUUGUAUAUGAGUGGGCGGAGGGAAUUAUUUUCGUAUUCUAGUUUGAUAAUCAGUCCCACAUGAAAAUCAUGUCUAAAGCCUUCCAGGUGCUGCCCACUCAAAAACAUCAGACAACACUGGUCCCAAACUUUCCAUUCAUCUCUCAUCCCACACCUUCAUUAAUAUGUUACUGAAUGAUGCUCCAGGAGCUAGCAAGAGGCUUGAUGAAAAGGUAGCUUAAAUGAUGGAAAGUCAUUUUCAGUAGUUAUGCUUUUAUGUUUAUUGAUUCAGCUAGAAGAGAGAUAAUAAUUAACAUCAGUUAUCUAGUAAACCUGUGAACUUGUUCCUGAAGCACAACCUGCUGGGUUAACAGCAGCUAUUAUGUUUGUGACCUUCUCUGCUUAUUGUUUCAGCGAAGACAGGAAUGUUCAUUUUCUGUAUCAAGAACAGCUUGGAAUCCAGAGAGGAGAAAAGGAACAAGGCAAGACAAAUUGCACUGUUUAGGAAUCUGGUUAUACCCCACUGGGUUGGAGAUACAUUACCUGUUAUAUAUAUGUGUGACCACCUAUGUGCAUAUAGCUGUUCUGGGGGCCUCCUGUCCAAACAGGUUGAAGAGGGUUUAGCUAUUUCUGAUUUAACCCCGCCCCCGCCCCCCAUUUUUCAUGUAUAUGUUUAACAUAUACUGGGAGAGGUCAUCCAGGGUUUUUGAGUGCGGUGCCACCUACAUGCAGAUGACACCCGACUCCACUAUU